ACCUGCCUCAGCGCAGGAA
rnacentral:rRNA from 1 species